rnacentral:lncRNA from 1 species
AGGCCACUGCGCAAGUGUGGACAGCCUACACCAAGGGAAGAGUCAGGGGAGAAGGAACACAAGACUCCGGAAGCAUGCCAGCGUAUAAAACCACACUUUGCCUCAUUGGUUCGUGCCUCAGCUUCCAAUCUGGACAUGGAGCACAAUAACAGUGGGCCCACUGCUCUCCGAAUUCCUGCGCGCACUUGAAGGGAGUGUCUGGUGCAGGCAUGCAGGGAGGAAGAAUGACUCUGAGCUUGACCAUUCAACUUCGAAACUUUAACAUCAAUGGAUCAGCACACACUGGUGUACGGUCUGCUAUGCAUGCAGCCCUGUGCUAGGCAAAAGAAGUAUCAGACCAGGAACUGACAGCCUCACUGCAACAGGAAGAGAGGCUUCACACAAUAAGCGUUUCAUUCAACCAGGCUGGACCUGUGCUUAUUGAGUUGAACAUCACUGAGCACAAAAUGCAAGCCAGACACCAUAAGAGCUGUAAGGAUGAUAAAGAUGUCUUUCUACCCUCGAGAGCUCUAAGUGUGGUCAGGAGAGAAACACAUGCAAAGAUUAUGCUGGCUGGAAGGAAAUGCUGGAAUGAAGGUGGAAGGUACAUCCAGAAUGUUCUGGGGGUGAGGAAUAGCGAAUGAUGGGUUCUGACUUAGAACAUGAAGGGAAGGUAUUAAGAAAGAGGUGAUAUUAAGCAUUUAUUGAGCAUCUCUACUUUUUUUGUGUAUGUGACCUUGUUUGGAAAUACAAUAUCUCUUCUUGAUGCUGGCAAUGAA